UUUGAAGAAUGUUGCAGCUGAUUGCAGCCCGAGACCGGUUGCUCACUGAAGCUAAGCAGGGCUGAGCCUGGUCAGUACCUGGAAGGGAGACCACAUGGGAAAACUAGGUUGCUUUUGGAG
ensembl:rRNA 5S_rRNA 5S ribosomal RNA